rnacentral:rRNA from 1 species
AUUGAACGCUGGCGGCAGGCCUAACACAUGCAAGUCGAACAAGUGGCGGACGGGUGAGUAAUGUCUUGGAAACUGCCUGAUAGAGGGGGAUAACUACUGGAAACGGUAGCUAAUACCGCAUACCAUCAGAUGUGCCCAGCUGGGAUUAGCUCUUUGGUGGGGUAACGGCGUACCCAGGCGACGAUCCCUAGCUUGUCUGAGAGGAUGACCAGCCACACUGUAACUGAGACACGGUCCAGACUCCUACGUGAGGCAGCAGUGGGGAAUAUUGCACAAUGGGCGCAAGCCUGAUUCAGCCAUGCCGCGUGUAUGAAUAAGGCCUUCGGGUUGUAAAGUACUUUCAGCGGGGAGGCGUUACCCGCAGAAGAAGCACCGGCUAACUCCGGGCCAGCAGCCGCGGUAAUAC